GAUGAAGAACGCAGCGAAAUGCGAUAAGUAAUGUGAAUUGCAGAAUUCAGUGAAUCAUCGAAUCUUUGAACGCACAUUGCGCCCGCCAGUAUUCUGGCGGGCAUGCCUGUUCGAGCGUCAUUUCCACCAUCAGGCCCCCGGGCCUGUGUUGGGGACCUGCGGCUGCCCGCAGGCCCCGAAAUUCAGUGGCGGUCGCGCCGUAGCAACCGAGCGUAGUAACUAAAACGUCUCGCUCUGGCUCGCUGGGCGCGCUCCGGCCGUAAAACACCCCCCCUUUUCGCAAAGGUUGACCUCGGAUCAGGUAGGAAUACCCGCUGAACUUAAGCAUAUCAAUAAGCGGAGGGA
rnacentral:misc_RNA from 1 species